rnacentral:lncRNA from 1 species
CCGACAGAGCAUCUCAGGCUCUAUGCACAUACCCUUUACCAUUUCUGGCAAAGGUCCAGAUAAUCCCACAAACACCAGAGUACAAAAGGCAGUAUGAACAAUAAAUAGCACAUAUCGGAAGCACACGCGGAACAACAAAACGUAUAUGUGCCUUUACGAGUCAGUGUGAUAUAGCAUAAAAGUUACACAAUAUGUUCAAGAAUGGAAAUAGUUUAUAGACAAGAGCAAAUGAGAAUUCAAGUAUUAAUAUAAGCCUCAAUUGAGUGAAGGGAACU